rnacentral:lncRNA from 1 species
CCAGAAUGCCAAAGAGCAGCAGGAUGGAUCCAGCAUCCUCUCCUGAUAAAAGAGGGCUAGAAGACGGGAGGCUCCGGGAAGUCUACUGGGGAUGGAAAACAAACUGAAACUGGCUCAAGUGAAUGCUCACUGGAAGGCUUACUGGAAAACUUACUGGAAGGAUGUGAGGACAUGUUCGGGAAUCUAUUUGCAGAAAACAUAUUCAGGUAUACUGGGAGCUCUCCCUCUCUCACAUUGUCUCCCUCACUGAAACCAGGAUUGCUGUCUAUUUCCUUGGGGCUGUUGCUGUCAUGCUGUCUUACUAACUGUAGUGUUGUGUUAGCUACACGACUGCUCAAGUUUAUUUUUUUGAAAAAUUGUGUUCCAUUUAGCCAGGAUGAUGCAAGUUGUUUCAAGAAAGGCUAUAAAAUGCUUGCAAUAAAAGUCAUGUUCAUUCACAUUCAUUAGGAAAAAAUGAAAUAAAUCUAUGCUGCAUAACUUUUUUCAUGCCAA